UGCGAAGCGAAGCAGUGAUGUGAAGCAAAUCGCACCAAAGCCAGUCCCAGUUCGGAUAAGAGGCUGAAACUCGCCUCUUUGAAGUCGGAAUCGCUAGUAAUCGCAGAUCAGCAUGUUGCGGUGAAUACGUUCCCGGGUCUUGUACACACCGCCCGUCAAACCAUGAGAGUCACCAACACCCGAAGUCCGCCUUGGCGGCCUAAGGUGGGGGAGAUGAUUGGGGUUAAGUCGUAACAAGGUAAC
rnacentral:rRNA from 1 species